rnacentral:rRNA from 1 species
CGGUACUCAGUUCGGAUUGAAGGCUGAAAUUGCCUUCAUGAAGCUGGAAUUGCUAGUAAUGGCAGGUCAGCAUACUGCCGUGAAUACGUUCCCGGGCCUUGUACACACCGCCCGUCACACCAUGAGAGUUGGGAAUACCCGAAGCCUGUGAGCUAACUGUAAAGAGGCAGCAGUCGAAGGUAGAAUCAAUGAUUGGGGUGAAGUCGUAACAAGGUAUC